rnacentral:rRNA from 1 species
UUGAACGCUGGCGGCAGGCCUAACACAUGCAAGUCGAGCGGAUGAAGGGAGCUUGCUCCUGGAUUCAGCGGCGGACGGGUGAGUAAUGCCUAGGAAUCUGCCUGGUAGUGGGGGAUAACGUCCGGAAACGGGCGCUAAUACCGCAUACGUCCUGAGGGAGAAAGUGGGGGAUCUUCGGACCUCACGCUAUCAGAUGAGCCUAGGUCGGAUUAGCUAGUUGGUGGGGUAAAGGCCUACCAAGGCGACGAUCCGUAACUGGUCUGAGAGGAUGAUCAGUCACACUGGAACUGAGACACGGUCCAGACUCCUACGGGAGGCAGCAGUGGGGAAUAUUGGACAAUGGGCGAAAGCCUGAUCCAGCCAUGCCGCGUGUGUGAAGAAGGUCUUCGGAUUGUAGAGCACUUUAAGUUGGGAGGAAGGGCAGUAAGUUAAUACCUUGCUGUUUUGACGUUACCAACAGAAUAAGCACCGGCUAACUUCGUG